CCUGGCUCAGGACGAACGCUGGCGGCGUGCCUAACACAUGCAAGUCGAACGGAGUUGAGCCCUUCGGGACUUGACUUAGUGGCGAACGGGUGAGUAACGCGUGAAUAACCUGCCUUUCAGUGGGGGACAACAGUCGGAAACGAUUGCUAAUACCGCAUAAUAUCUUCUGGCCGCAUGACUGGAAGAUCAAAGCUUUAUGUGCUGAAAGAUGGAUUCGCGUCUGAUUAGCUAGUUGGUGGGGUAACGGCCCACCAAGGCGACGAUCAGUAGCCGGUCUGAGAGGAUGAACGGCCACAUUGGGACUGAGAUACGGCCCAGACUCCUACGGGAGGCAGCAGUGGGGAAUAUUGGGCAAUGGGGGAAACCCUGACCCAGCAACGCCGCGUGAAGGAAGAAGGCUUUCGGGUUGUAAACUUCUUUUACCAGGGACGAAGGACGUGACGGUACCUGGAGAAAAAGCAACGGCUAACUACGUGCCAGCAGCCGCGGUAAUACGUAGGUUGCAAGCGUUGUCCGGAUUUACUGGGUGUAAAGGGCGUGUAGGCGGAGGUGCAAGUUGGGAGUGAAAUCUAUGGGCUUAACCCAUAAACUGCUCUCAAAACUGUGCCCCUUGAGUAUCGGAGAGGCAAGCGGAAUUCCUAGUGUAGCGGUGAAAUGCGUAGAUAUUAGGAGGAACACCAGUGGCGAAGGCGGCUUGCUGGACGACAACUGACGCUGAGGCGCGAAAGCGUGGGGAGCAAACAGGAUUAGAUACCCUGGUAGUCCACGCUGUAAACGAUGAAUACUAGGUGUGGGAGGACUGACCCCUUCCGUGCCGCAGUUAACACAAUAAGUAUUCCACCUGGGGAGUACGACCGCAAGGUUGCAACUCAAAUGAAUUGACGGA
rnacentral:rRNA from 1 species